GGAGUCUAAUCCAGUGGAAAAGAGUCUUGACUCGCAAACUAGUGAUUUCAAGUUCGAACCCUGAUGACACCU
rnacentral:tRNA from 1 species